AUUGAACGCUGGCGGCAGGCCUAACACAUGCAAGUCGAACGGUAACAGGAAGACGCUUGCUUCUUUGCUGACGAGUGGCGGACGGGUGAGUAAUGUCUGGGAAACUGCCUGAUGGAGGGGGAUAACUACUGGAAACGGUAGCUAAUACCGCAUAACGUCGCAAGACCAAAAAGGGGGACCUUUGGGCCUCUUGCCAUCGGAUGUGCCCAGAUGGGAUUAGCUAGUAGGUGGGGUAACGGCUCACCUAGGCGACGAUCCCUAGCUGGUCUGAGAGGAUGACCAGCCACACUGGAACUGAGACACGGUCCAGACUCCUACGGGAGGCAGCAGUGGGGAAUAUUGCACAAUGGGCGCAAGCCUGAUGCAGCCAUGCCGCGUGUAUGAAGAAGGCCUUCGGGUUGUAAAGUACUUUCAGCGGGGAGGAAGGGAGUAAAGUUAAUACCUUUGCUCAUUGACGUUACCCGCAGAAGAAGCACCGGCUAACUCCGUG
rnacentral:rRNA from 1 species